CCUACGGGAGGCAGCAGUAGGGAAUCUUCCACAAUGGGCGAAAGCCUGAUGGAGCAACGCCGCGUGGGUGAAGAAGGUCUUCGGAUCGUAAAACCCUGUUGUUAGGGAAGAAAGUGCGUGAGCGUAACUCUUCACUUUUCGACGGUAUCUAACCAGAAACCCACGGCUAACUACGGGCCAGCAGCCGCGGUAAUACGUAGGGGGCCAGCGUUAUCCGGAUUUAUUGGGCGUAAAGGGUACGCAGGCGGUCUUGUAAGUCAGAUGUGAAAGCCUGCGGCUUAACCGGAGUAGUGCAUUGGAAACUGGGGGACUUGAGUGCAGAAGAGGAGAGUGGAACUCAAUGUGUAGCGGUGAAAUGCGUAGAGAUAUGGAAGAACACCAGUGGCGAAGGCGGGUGUCUGGGGUGCAACUGACGCUGAGGUUCGAAAGCGUGGGUAGCAAACAGGAUUAGAUACCCGUGUAGUC
rnacentral:rRNA from 1 species